GGCCGCCGGGAGCUGUAGUCGGUCCCGCCUGGCCAGUCAGCGCGGUGUUUGUUGCCCGCCUUGCUCACGGAGCCCAGAGCCACCGCCCAGGGGGAUGCGGGAACCCCCGGUUCGGAGGAACAGAGAGGCAGGCGGGGUGAAGGGCGUUGCCAGGCAACGGGCGAGCGCUACGGUUGGGGAGGAGCCGAGGACGGCAUGUCCCAGGCCCCAGGAGCUCAGCCAAGCCCACCCUCCGUGUACCACGAACGGCAACGCCUGGAACUCUGUGCCGUCCACGCCCUCAACAACGUCCUGCAGCAGCAGCUCUUCAGCCAGGAGGCUGCCGAUGAGAUCUGCAAGAGGUGACCAUCACCCCCCCCAUACCCUGGAGAAGCAGGGCUCACAGAGGCGAGCAACCCACCUGGGUCUCAGAGCAAGGUUGGCCCCAGACUCCCGGCUGAACCCCCAUCGCAGCCUCCUGGGCACCGGAAACUAUGACGUCAACGUGAUCAUGGCCGCCCUGCAGGGGCAGGGCCUGGCCGCUGUGUGGUGGGACAGAAGGAGGCCCCUGUCCCAGCUGGCGCUGCCGCAGGUGCUGGGGCUGAUCCUGAACCUGCCCUCGCCCGUGUCGCUGGGGCUGCUGUCCCUGCCGCUGCGCCGGCGGCACUGGGUGGCCCUGCGCCAGGUGGGUGGCGUCUACUACAACCUGGACUCCAAGCUGCGGACGCCCGAGGUCCUGGGGAACGAGGACGGCGUCAGGCCUCCGGGAGGAGCCAGCCCGGCCCACAGCUUGACUCUAACCCAGUGAGACUCACUUUGGACUUCGACCUCCAGAAAUGGUGGGUGCAGACUGCUCCAGACAGCCUCACGGGCCCUGCCGGCACCCCGCUCCUCGCAAGGCCUCGGUCCCACUGUCCCUUGUCCCCAGGUCCCCAGCAGUGGAUGCACUCGGUUCCGGCGGGAGGCGUCUGUAGAAGAGCCCCAUCUCCUUCCGUCACGGUGCUGGGCAGAGAAACGAGACGACCAAUUGGGGUUCCAACUUUAUUUCCUCGGGGUGGGGUGUAGGGACAGGAAGAGGGACUGAAGGAGACCAAGAGGGAAAGUAGGAUAGAAAAUGCUGGAACAGUGCUCACGGGAAGGGCACUGAUUCUUCUUCCUCUUCUUCUUCUGGGUUGUUGCCCUCUUGUCCCCCCACCCCCCCAACUGGCAGCCAGGGAAACUGAGGCUCAGGCGGGCUCCAGGGUCUCCUCCCUCCUUGGCCUCAGGGUUUCUCUCUCUCUUCUCUCCCCCUCCCUCUCACCUCCUCCUCCCUCCCAUUCUCUCCUCCGCUCUGCCAGCUCUGCCCCGUGGCUGCUCUGUGACUUGCAGGCCGGCUCCCCACAGGCAUCUCCUGCACCCUGUCUUGUCAUUCCGUGUCCCCCCCACGGGUCCGUCUCUAUCAUCCGUCCAGCUGUCUGUCUCCAACCCACUUGCUCACAGCUUUUCUCUCUUCCUCUCACCAGCCUUCCGACCUGCUUCUCAGAGCUUCCUCCUCUCCCCCCCCCCCCUUCUCUCUCACGCACUCCUCCCUCCCUCCCUGCUUCCCGUUGUUUCCCCUGCUCACCACCGGUGCUCGGGGUCUCUCUGGAAGCCUUUCUGCUCUCCCUCCAAACUUUGUCCCUUGCCCUUUCCCUGCUCCCACCCACUUUGUCCCCCAAGUGACAGGGGGGUGGGGGACAGGCCCUUCCGGAGGGCACGGAGGAUCCUGUGCUCUCGGGGUCCCCUUUGUUCCUCCCAUCGCCUCUCCUCUUGACUCCAUCUGCUUCCCUUCAUAUCCUCGCGUUCCCUCGUCUUUUUGUGUGUCUUCUUUGCCUUUUCUAGGGUGGCACCCGCGGCAUAUGGAGGUUCCCAGGC